rnacentral:rRNA from 1 species
GUGAAUACGUUCCCGGGCCUUGUACACACCGCCCGUCACACCAUGAGAGUUGGUAACACCCGAAGUCCGUGAGGUAACCGUAAGGAGCCAGCGGCCGAAGGUGGGAUUGAUGAUUGGGGUGAAGUCGUAACAAGGUAGCCGUAGGAGAACCUGCGGCUGGAUCACCUCCUUUCUAGGGAG